UACGUAGGGCGCAAGCGUUAUCCGGAAUUAUUGGGCGUAAAGAGCUCGUAGGCGGUUUGUCGCGUCUGCCGUGAAAGUCCGGGGCUCAACUCCGGAUCUGCGGUGGGUACGGGCAGACUAGAGUGAUGUAGGGGAGACUGGAAUUCCUGGUGUAGCGGUGAAAUGCGCAGAUAUCGAGAGGAACACCUGCGGCGAAGGCGGGUUGCUGGGCCGACACUGACGCUGAGGCGCGAAAGCGUGGGGAGCGAACAGG
rnacentral:rRNA from 1 species